rnacentral:lncRNA from 1 species
UGUUCCGUCCCUUCAGGUGGGAAAUGUUGGACUACGGAGCAAGCUGAAGUCCUCUUUUAUCUCCCAACUUAGAUGGCGUGGUAUAGGUGUUUGUACCUGUGUAAGCAUUUAUAGACUGUAAAGAUCGGUAUAACCUGUGAUUAUGACAGAGUUCUGGACUUAGUAAUAUUUAUCUGACUGUUCACUGUAAUUUUGUCAUGGCAGUAGAAUGGUUAUGUAUUUCUGUCUAUGUGGUAUCUUAUUUAACACCCAUAAGCCUUGUAGCUUGUACCUUAUUCCCUAAUAACAACAAUAAUAUUGGUUGGCCUAUUUUAAGAUUCAGGUAUCAAUGUUGUGUUUUUAUCUGAAUCAAAUAGAUUGCUUUUCCUUUGAUGCAGUGGAGCUAAAUAUUGUGAAUCACGCGACACUAGUUCUUCAACAUUAUACAGUUAAUGUUAGUAGUAAAUUAUUAUUUUAAUUUUUGACUGACAUUCAUAUGACAAUUUUCUGUAAUCGUAAAUUAUCUAAGAUAAAUUUUGAAUUUAGAGUACCUCUAUAAAGGUGAAUUAUCAAACUAUUGUAAGAAUAAAUUUUUCAAAACAAUAAAAUUUUUUUCGUAUUAUUUUAUUUUAUUUCUUGUUUUAAUAAUUAUAGCAAUUAGGAGUCAAUUUUAAAAUUUAAUAAAAAUAAUUAAUUUAUUUUGUUAAAACUACAAAUAUUAGAAGUAUUGAUUUGAAACAAGAAUAUCCCAAGAUUCAUGAACUCCAUAAAACAUGCAAAAGAAAUGAAAAAAGCUGCAGAAUAGUUUUGUAGGUUGAAGUGUUUGAGAGGAAGAGUCUUGUUGGUCUCCUCUCUCACGGACAACUAACGCAUCAAGAUGAAAAGUUAGUAGCAAAAAAACAAGGAGAAGUUGAAUGAGACAAGGAUAUUUGUACCGAGCAAUUACCUGGUUUGUCACUUGUGAAGACUCAGCUUUGAAAUUUAAUUCACUAAAUCCGAAUUUAAAAAAAAAAAAAAAUGUGUAGUUUAAAUAUUUGUGGGUAGUUUUAAGAAAUUCGAAAGAUUGGGGCAGAGUGAAAUUAAGAAAAUAGUGUGGGCAAAAUGAGAAUUUUAGAAAAGAAAAAAGAAGAUUUUUGAAAGGAGAGAAGAGAGGGUGUCGAGAAGAGAGAGAAGAA